rfam:Helianthus annuus linkage group 2, whole genome shotgun sequence.
AUUCCAUGGUGAGGGCAAUUCUUUAUCAUCAUAUUGAAUCAUUCAAAUGCCUCAUGGAACAUUUCACCAUGUUGUUGUUGGAAACUUCUCAACCCCUUUCGUACAUC